GAUAAACGCUGGCGGCGUGCCUUAUGCAUGCAAGUCGAACGAGGUUAAGAUUUCGGUCUGAAGCCUAGUGGCGGACGGGUGAGUAACACGUACGUGACCUGUCCAGAAGUGGGGAAUAACCGGCCGAAAGGUUGGCUAAUACCGCAUGUGGUCACCCCUUGGAAGGGGAGUGACGAAAGCCGAAAGGCGCUUCUGGAGGGGCGUGUGGCCGAUUAGCUAGUUGGUGUGGUAACGGCGCACCAAGGCGAUGAUCGGUAGCUGGUCUGAGAGGAUGGUCAGCCACACUGGGACUGAGAUACGGCCCAGACUCCUACGGGAGGCAGCAGCAGGGUAAUUUUUCGUCAAGUGGGGGAAACCCUGACGAAGCAACGCCGCGUGGAGGAUGAAGGCC
rnacentral:rRNA from 1 species